rfam:Parcubacteria bacterium GW2011_GWA2_43_9b TW11_C0030, whole genome shotgun sequence.
GGGCCCAUAGUAAAACGGCAUUACGCGACAUUCGCAUUGUCGAAGUCUGGGUUCAAUUCCCAGUGGGUCCA